rnacentral:tRNA from 1 species
UGCCGGCGCUGGCCGAGCCGGUGGCGCUGCUGCGGGCCGGUGACCUGCGCGGGGCGGUGGAGUUCCUGCUCACCGCGCCGCCGACC